AUUGAACGCUGGCGGCAGGCCUAACACAUGCAAGUCGAACGAGUGGCGGACGGGUGAGUAAUGUCUGGGAAACUGCCUUAUGGCGGGGGAUAACUACUGGAAACGGUAGCUAAUACCGCAUACCAUUAGCUUAUCCCUGAUGGGAUUCGCUAGUUGGUGGGGUAACGGCUCACCAAGGCGACGAUCCCCAGCUGGUCUGAGAGGAUGACCAGCCACACUGGAACUGAGACACGGUCCAGACUCCUACGGGAGGCAGCAGUGGGGAAUAUUGCACAAUGGGCGCAAGCCUGAUGCAGCCAUGCCGCGUGUAUGAAGAAGGCCUUCGGGUUGUAAAGUACUUUCAGCGGGGAGGCGUUACCCGAAGAAGAAGCAACGGCUAACUCCGUGCCAGCAGCCGCGGUAAUAC
rnacentral:rRNA from 1 species